rnacentral:rRNA from 1 species
AGUGAACGCUGGCGGUAGGCCUAACACAUGCAAGUCGAACGGCAGCACAGUAAGAGCUUGCUCUUACGGGUGGCGAGUGGCGGACGGGUGAGGAAUACAUCGGCAUCUACUUUUUCGUGGGUGAUAACGUAGGGAAACUUACGCUACUACCUCAUACGACCUACGGGUGAAAGCAGGGGAUCUUCGGACCUUGCGCGAUUGAAUGAGCCGAUGUCGGAUUAGCUAGUUGGCGUGGUAAAGGCCCACCAAGGCGACGAUCCGUAGCUGGUCUGAGAGGAUGAUCAGCCACACUGGAACUGAGACACGGUCCAGACUCCUACGGGAGGCAGCAGUGGGGAAUAUUGGACAAUGGGCGAAAGCCUGAUGCAGCCACACUGCGUGGGUGAAGAAGGCCUUCGGGUUGUAAAGCCCUGUUGUUAGGAAAGAAAAGAAGUAGGUGAAAACCCCGAUGUUCUGACGGUACCCAAAGAAUAAGCAACGGCUAACUUCGUG